UAUGAUGAUUCCAAAAGAGCUUGAUUGUCCCCUUGUGUGAUGUUAUCAUCAUAGUUAUGCAAUCAAGGCUCAAGCUCUUUAUUGUGAUAUCAUAUUUGCUUUCCUCAAAGCUUAGGUCCUUUUGAGUUUCCCUUUUCUUUCAGUUCUUGAAUCCCUGAGUCCCCUCUCAGGGUGUGAUUCAAGAACUGGACGAUGUAUAUUGGCAUUUGACGUUUAAUCAAGGGUAACUUGAUCUCCCUUAGUUUUGUUGGAACCCCAUUUCAAGAAUCACAAAUCUUUUUGGUCUAAACAUGCCAGCGUUAGAGGAAUUCAGGCAAAUAGGAGAGAUAAUUGGGAGUCUUAAAGCUCUAAUGGUUUUCCAAGAUGAUAUACAAAUAAAUCAAAAACAAUGUUGUUUGUUGGUGGACAUGCUUAAAUGUGCCUACAGGACAAUUGCUGAAACCAUGAAAAAGAACUUGAGAUUUGAAGAGAGGAAUGCGAAAUGGAAAAUUCUUGAGAACCCCUUAAGGGAGCUUCUCAGGGUGUUCAAAGAGGCAGAGCAGUAUAUCAAGCAAUCCCUGGAAACUAAGGAUUUUUGGGCAAAAGCCAUAGUUGUUUACAAGAAUACAGAUUGUGUUGAAUUUCACAUCCACAAUUUGCUCUCUUGUGUGCCAAUUGUCAUUGAGGCCAUAGAAAUAGCAGGAGAGAUUUCAGGUAGUGACCAUGAUGAGAUACAGAAGAAGAGGUACAUUUACGCGAUGAAGUAUCAGAAAGAGUGUAAAGACCCAAAAAUCUUCCAAUGGAAAUUCGGAGACCAGUACUUGGUUUCCGAGAAGUUCUGCGAUAGGGUAUGCUUAGUUUGGAAUGAAGACAAGUGGACUUUGCAGAAUAAAAUUCGAGAGAAGAAGAAUUCAGGUUCAUGUAGUUUGAAAAAGCAUGAGCAGCGACUUGCUGAUCUCCUCUUGAAGAACUUAAACGAGAUGGAGACAGAGAGCGAUCAUAAACUUUCACCUAGCUCAGUUCUUAUAAAUUCUAAGGAUUACCAGGUAAGAAGGCGAUUAGGUAGUGGAAGUCAAUACAAGGAGAUACAAUGGUUGGGGGAGACCUUCUGUUUACGGCAUUUGUUUGGGGAUAUAAAGCCCCUGAUUGCAGAUAUUUCUCGAGAACUGCAUCUCUCUCAUCCAAAUAUAAUGCACAUCUCCUGUGGUUUUACUGACGAAGAAAAGAGAGAAUGUUUCUUAAUCAUGGAACUUAUGAACAAAGAUUUAUCGAGUUACAUCAAAGAGAUCUGUGGACCAAGAAAGCGCGUACCAUUUUCUCUUCCUGUUGCAAUUGAUUUGCUCCUUCAGAUUGCAAGAGGCAUGGAAUACCUCCACUCAAAGAAAAUCUACCAUGGUGAGUUGAGUCCUUCCAACAUCCUUGUAAAGACAAGGAAUGUAUCUACAGAAGGGCAUUUACAUGCAAAGGUUUAUGGAUAUGGCUCAUCACGUUCUAUCAACGUUCCUCAGAAAGCUAAUGUGAAUCAAAAUAAUGGGACGCUCCCAAUCAUUUGGUUUGCCCCAGAAGUCCUAGCUGAACAAGAGCACUCGGGGAAUGGAGGGAACUUUCAGUAUACUGAGAAAUCUGAUGUGUACAGUUUUGGGAUGAUAUGUUUUGAGGUUUUAACAGGGAAAGUUCCAUUUGAAGAUAGUCAUCUACAAGGAGACAAAAUGAGUAGAAAUGUAAGGGCAGGAGAGAGGCCAUUAUUCCCAUUUCACUCACCAAAAUAUUUGACUAGCUUGACAAAGAAGUGUUGGCAUACUGAUCCAUAUCAACGACCAAGUUUCUCAUCCAUCUGUAGGGUUCUCCGCUAUGUAAAGAGAUUCUUGGUGAUGAAUCCGGAACACAGUCAACAAGACUCACUAUUGCCACCAGUAGACUAUGGUGAAAUUGAAGCUGCGAUCUUAAGGAGCUUCCCCUUUAUGGGAAAUUCUGAAUCUGAUCCUCUUCCUGUCACACAAAUACCUUUCCAAAUGUUUGCAUACAGGGUCACCGAGAAAGAAAAGUCGAGCACAAUUCACAAAGACAUAAAUUCUGAAUCAGGAAGUGAUGGAAAUUCAGGUUGUGGGGAUGAUCCUGUAACGGCAGAAGAUUCACUUCCAUCACCAACCGAAAAGAAGAUUGCAUCCCCCGAGAUUUUGACCAAGAGACUUUCUGUUAAGAAACCUACCGAUAUCAAAGUCACCAAGCAACCAGGAACACCAAAGGGACGUUCAGUAAGACCUCCAACCUUACGUACCGCAAGGCAGAAUUCCGAAAGUCAGUUAAUGGUGAUGAUGUACAGCCCAAGAACAAGGAAAUCAUCCGGUCAUGCAUCAGAUUCAGAGCUUCCUUAACUAGUUUUCAAAUUAUCCAACAUUUUAUAAGACAUUCUGUUCCAAUCUGAUCAACAAACAAAUGGUUGCAGUAUCAGAUAUUCAUUGCUGUUUUAACUUUUUGGAAGGGACAGACAGUUCAGAACAAAAGAAGCCAUUCAGAACCUCUUUAUUGAUCCUCAUUUUUUAGACUAGUUUUAAAACCCUACAUUGUGUGAUAUUUGAAAGGGUUAUAAGACGCAACUCAGUUCCCUCAUUCUGCUUGAAGAGAUUUGUACAAUUUUGGAGAAAAAGGGCCUGCGGAUUGGAAUUAGAAGGAAAAGGAAGAGUCUACACUGAGCUCACUAGUAAAAAAAAGGCAGGAUACAGUUGAUCUUCCAUCACAUUGUUAUUUUUUUUUUAAUACUAUCAUUUAUCUUCUAUGUAGUUGGAGCUCCUUUUUUUAUUAUUUUUUAGAUAAUUCUUUUUAAAUGUAUUUCACUAUCUUCAUUAUAAUUUUAAGUGAAGUUG